rnacentral:rRNA from 1 species
UCUGGUAUUGAUUGGUGCUUGCAUCAUGAUUUACAUUUGAGUGAGUGGCGAACUGGUGAGUAACACGUGGGAAACCUGCCCAGAAGCGGGGGAUAACACCUGGAAACAGAUGCUAAUACCGCAUAACAACUUGGACCGCAUGGUCCGAGCUUGAAAGAUGGCUUCGGCUAUCACUUUUGGAUGGUCCCGCGGCGUAUUAGCUAGAUGGUGGGGUAACGGCUCACCAUGGCAAUGAUACGUAGCCGACCUGAGAGGGUAAUCGGCCACAUUGGGACUGAGACACGGCCCAAACUCCUACGGGAGGCAGCAGUAGGGAAUCUUCCACAAUGGACGAAAGUCUGAUGGAGCAACGCCGCGUGAGUGAAGAAGGGUUUCGGCUCGUAAAACUCUGUUGUUAAAGAAGAACAUAUCUGAGAGUAACUGUUCAGGUAUUGACGGUAUUUAACCAGAAAGCCACGGCUAACUACGUGCCAGCAGCCGCGGUAAUACGUAGGUGGCAAGCGUUGUCCGGAUUUAUUGGGCGUAAAGCGAGCGCAGGCGGUUUUUUAAGUCUGAUGUGAAAGCCUUCGGCUCAACCGAAGAAGUGCAUCGGAAACUGGGAAACUUGAGUGCAGAAGAGGACAGUGGAACUCCAUGUGUAGCGGUGAAAUGCGUAGAUAUAUGGAAGAACACCAGUGGCGAAGGCGGCUGUCUGGUCUGUAACUGACGCUGAGGCUCGAAAGUAUGGGUAGCAAACAGGAUUAGAUACCCUGGUAGUCCAUACCGUAAACGAUGAAUGCUAAGUGUUGGAGGGUUUCCGCCCUUCAGUGCUGCAGCUAACGCAUUAAGCAUUCCGCCUGGGGAGUACGGCCGCAAGGCUGAAACUCAAAGGAAUUGACGGGGGCCCGCACAAGCGGUGGAGCAUGUGGUUUAAUUCGAAGCUACGCGAAGAACCUUACCAGGUCUUGACAUACUAUGCAAAUCUAAGAGAUUAGACGUUCCCUUCGGGGACAUGGAUACAGGUGGUGCAUGGUUGUCGUCAGCUCGUGUCGUGAGAUGUUGGGUUAAGUCCCGCAACGAGCGCAACCCUUAUUAUCAGUUGCCAGCAUUAAGUUGGGCACUCUGGUGAGACUGCCGGUGACAAACCGGAGGAAGGUGGGGAUGACGUCAAAUCAUCAUGCCCCUUAUGACCUGGGCUACACACGUGCUACAAUGGAUGGUACAACGAGUUGCGAACUCGCGAGAGUAAGCUAAUCUCUUAAAGCCAUUCUCAGUUCGGAUUGUAGGCUGCAACUCGCCUACAUGAAGUCGGAAUCGCUAGUAAUCGCGGAUCAGCAUGCCGCGGUGAAUACGUUCCCGGGCCUUGUACACACCGCCCGUCACACCAUGAGAGUUUGUAACACCCAAAGUCG